GAGGUCGGCGGCCAGCAGCGCCCCGAGCAGCAGCAGCACGGCCGGCCGGUCCCGGCGGGGCCCCGGCAUGGCCCCCGUUGCCGGGUGGCGACAGCUCCGGACGAGAUUAUCCAGCUGAAGUGAACAAAAUCUGCGCUCCAACGAGCCAGAAUGAGUCACCAGCAAACACAGCUCCGUGGAUGUGAGCCCUCCAAAAGCCCUCAUCGCCUCACGUUAAACUUAAAGCACAACUUUGACAACCACUCCAUCAAAACCGGCUGGUGCUGCUGCGUUCGUAAUCCCCUCUGAGCCGCUGCCUGCUGCUGAUCUCUCCCAGAAACCACUAUUAAAUCUUUCCUGCUUUGCAAUGCCAAUUCUGAACGACGGGCACGAGGAGAAAAGCCAUCAGCAGGGCUGGCAUCUCCGUGCUGUUUGCACACGCAGCGGGAAGAUCGUUUUGUUGCUAAUGAGGCUAAUUAAAAACAAAUAAAUAAAUAAAGCCAUCCCAUCAAUCUGUACCAAAUUGAAACGCCGCGGUCCUUCCCAAAGCCAGCUCUGAGCACAUCGUGGUUCUCCUGGCUAUUGAAUGCCUCCGUGCACCGUGGAAAUGUGUUCCUAAAACAAACCUGCAGAGGUGCUUGGGCAGGACACGGGCAGCUCAAGAGGAACCAAAUUACCCUUUGGAAUUGCCGCCAGAUAAUUGGCCUCAUUUACUAUUUUCAGACUGAACUCCUUCCCCCCAGACAGUCACAGUGGAGGAAUAUUCAGGCGUAGAUGAUGUCCCCAAACAUAUCAUUAAAGCUUGAAAUAAACGUGCAGUGACAUCCCAUGCUAAGGACUUCCUUUGUGCUCCGGGUGGUAACCAGGAGGUUGUUUUCAAAGUCAUUUUUAUUAAACAAAAGAUUUCCCUCUUGUUUUUCCCCAAACAUUGGGAAAUGAAUGUAA